rnacentral:rRNA from 1 species
AGAGAUGCACUGGGCGUAAAGCGUGCGCAGGCGGUUUUGUAAGACAGAGGUGUAAAUCCCCGGGCUCAACCUGGGAACUGCCUUUGUGACUGCAAGGCUGGAGUGCGGCAGAGGGGGAUGGAAUUCCGCGUGUAGCAGUGAAAUGCAUAGAUAUGCGGAGGAACACCGAUGGCGAAGGCAAUCCCCUGGGCCUGCACUGACGCUCAUGCACGAAAGCGUGGGGAGCAAACA